CGUAACGCUGAUCUUCCGCCUGUAUCCCAACUACCAACAAAUGGUAAUCAUUCCAGAAUCACGUAAAAAAUGAUGCUCACUGCAACUGUAUCGAAAAAACAAAUGCAUUUGUAAGAACGCUUGAUAGCUGUAGUCCUUCACCUUUUCAGGUAUGGGUACGAGGCGUGAAGGCUGCUUAAUCAGCAAUUGUUCAGGGCACCCAAUGUUUCUGAAAGAUCGCAGCGUGUUUUCUGCGGAAGAAGUGACACUAGUGCGGAUUCUCUGUGGACAUAGUAAAUCACGCGUGAGUUUCCACUCGGAUCGUUUGUUUCAGAAGGUUGACGUAAAUGCUCCUCUUCCAUAUAUAGGCAUUAGAAUCUUUGACCUAAACUACUUUCACAUCUUUUCGUGAACCCUUGAAUCUUUGAGAUGGGGUGGGGAUAUUAUCGUAUCUGCUAACUCCGCUUGAAAUGCGCCUGGCGUUAAUCCUUCACUUCAUCAGAUUCCAAGUCGAUUCGUAAAAAGUUUCCCUAAAUAGGCCGUAAUUAGAGCAAUUAUCGUUAGUGACAGCACAUUUCUCGGUCGGGAUUCCAAGGCCAAGUUACCUGGAGUGACAGUGGAGGUGGCACGCGUAGAAGAAGCACAAGUGUCGGAGUUACGAGGCAGAUUAAACAUGGCCUGGAUUCCGUGGUGCCUUCGCUUUGUCUUAUCCGUGUUUAUCUCCAACCUUAACUCCUCUUGUUUGCCAGGACACUCGCUUGCGUCGUGUUUCUGUGGAAGCAGGCUGCAAUUUUCUCUUGCUUGUCACUCAGCCAGAGCUCUAUCUGCGCAUACGCGGUACUGGUGGAAUAUAGGAGGGACGUGUGGACAGGGUAAUGUUGGCAGGCAUCACUAGAUGACUCAUUCAUCAGCAUAAGGGAUAAUAAAGCUCUUAUGUAGUAGGUUUCAGGCGCAAUCGAUGCUUUGAUACUGCUGUCGGAAUAAACUUAUAUUGUAGUCCUCAA